UACGGAGGAUCCGAGCGUUAUCCGGAUUUAUUGGGUUUAAAGGGUGCGUAGGCGGGAUUUUAAGUCAGUGGUGAAAGUUUGCAGCUCAACUGUAAAAUUGCCAUUGAAACUGAAGUUCUUGAGUACAAAUGAGGUAGGCGGAAUGUGUUGUGUAGCGGUGAAAUGCUUAGAUAUAACACAGAACACCAAUUGCGAAGGCAGCUUACUGGCAUGUAACUGACGCUGAUGCACGAAAGCGCGGGGAGCAAACAGG
rnacentral:rRNA from 1 species